GACGAACGCUGGCGGCGUGCUUAACACAUGCAAGUCGAACGGAAAGGCCCUGCUCUUGUGGGGUGCUCGAGUGGCGAACGGGUGAGUAACACGCGUGUAACCUGCCCUUGACUUUGGGGUAACUUCUGGAAACUGGGGCUAAUACCGGAUAGGAGCUCCUGCUGCACGGUGUGGGUUGGAAAGUUUCGGCGGUUGGGGAUGGACUAGCGGCUUAUCAGCUUGUUGGUGGGGUAGUUGCUUACCAAGUCUUUGACGGAUAGCCUGCCUGAGAGGGUGGACGGCCACCAUAGGACUGAGAUACGGACCAGAAGGCUACGGGCGGCAGCAGGGGGGAACAUGGCACAACAGGCGGGAGUCUGAGACAGAGGUGUUGGGUGCGUAAAGACGGCCUUCGGGUUGUAAACAGCUUUCGACGGUAACGUGGAGGUCGUGACGGUACUGGAUAAAAAAGCACCGGCUAACUACGUG
rnacentral:rRNA from 1 species